rnacentral:lncRNA from 1 species
ACUGGGGCAAAAAGGAGCCUAACAAUUCUUUCUCUGUUCUCCCUGCCCCACAUCUACAAGUCAGAGGGAGAUAGAAGUGAUUAUAAAACCAGCUGACCAGGAAGGGACAGGCGACUUGCAGACUCAGGUGAACUUCUCAGCAUUGCAAUACCCCUGCUAGUGGUCCUGCUGCCCACACAUUAUGAGGGCCUGUCCCACGUAUAGACUGCCUUUCGAAAGCAGGCAGCAGACUAGAAGCUGUACAGGAACGUGCAGUCUUCUCUUAUUUUCCAGACUGAGUUUUCACCACCUAGUGCAAGCAGCAACCGAAGAGCAGAGACCUCAACAUGCAGGUGGCAAUUAGUGCACGGUGUGGCCAAUUGAGAGACAUCCGGGGUAGAAAGGGGAACUGGAGUGCAAAGAACUCUGGCAUGCUUUUCAUGACUCAAACUGCCAAUCUGCUACAUCAGUGCCACAGGCAGCCACUGUUUUAGGAGAGGGAUGAAUAUGACAUGGCAUGAAAACUGACCUUUUCCAGUCCUGGGACCACUGCUGAGUUUUCCAAAUUUGCUGUCAUAUUGAGUGCAGCACUUUCACAGCAUCAUCUUUUAGGUUUUGAAAUAGUUCAACUGGAAUUCCAUCACCUCCACUAGCUUUGUUCAUAGUGAUGCUUCCUAAGGCCCACUUGACUUCACAUGCCAGGAUGUCUGGCUCUAGGUCAGUGAUCGCACCAUUGUGAUUAUCUGGAUUGUGAAGAUCUUUUUUGUAUAGUUCUUCUGUGUAUUCUUGCCACUUCUUGAUAAUAUUAGUUUUCAUUCCAACCCCAAAGAAAGGCAAUGCCAAAGAAUGCUCAAACUACUGCACAAUUGCACUCAUCUCAUAUGCUAGUCAAGUAAUGCUCAAAAUUCUCCAAGCGAGGCUUUAACAAUACAUGAACCGUGAACUUCUAGAUAUUCAAGCUGGUUUUAGAAAAGAAAAAACAGAAAUUAAAUUGCCAACAUCCAUUGGAUCAUCCAAAAAGCAAGAGUUCGAGAAAAACAUCUACUUCUGAUUUAUUGACUAUGACAAAGCCUUUGACUGUGUGGAUCACCACAAAC